rnacentral:pre_miRNA from 1 species
GGGGGGAGGCCGGAUCCUGGACUGUGUCCCCGGUGCCCAGUGCUCCCGGGCCUGCGCUGUUGGAUUCGCGCUCUGGCUGCGCAGCCGCCU